rnacentral:rRNA from 1 species
CCACAAUUAAUCCAUAACCCACAACCACUACCGAAUAAUCUCAUACUAUAUAAGAACUAUUAUGCUAGAACUAGUAACAAGAAGAUGAACUUCUCCAAAAUGUAAACGUAAGCCAAAAUGAACACCCACCGGCAUUUACCGCCAAACAGUAUUAACAUCACAAGAAAAUUAUACUCUAACUGACGUCAACCUUACACUAGAACAUUUCUAGAAAGAU